UACGAUUUAAUCGAAGGUGGGCCUUUGGGGGACAAACUUGAAAAAAUCAGCUAUGAGAACAAGUUUGAGGCAGCUGCAGGUGGAGGAAGUAUUUGCAAGAGCUCAAUGAAAUUCUACACUGUUGGCGACAAUGUAAUCACUGAAGAUGAAAUCAAGGCUCUCAUUAAGGGAAGUGAGGGAGUUUACAAGCCUGUUGAAGCUUAUCUAUUGGCUAAUCCUGAAUCCUGCAACUAGGAUAUUGGUUGCUUUGAAUUCUGAUUCUUGGUUUUAAAGAGUGGUCAUUGCUUUUAAUGGUGUGUUUUUUAUAUUUUCUUUUUCCUUUUAAAACCUAAAUUGUCUUCUAAUUAUUUACAUAAGAGUGGUGGUGAUCGAGCUUUUGUCAUCUUUAUUUUCAUUACAGUCAAAGAAUUUGGGUUGUCUUUGACAUAUAUAGAAAUAAAAUAAACAAAUAAACUCAAAAAAAGAAAAAAAAAGGUUUUACCUGGUAUAUUGAUGAGUGAAAAUUCACAAUCCAUAUUAGAGAUGUGCAUUCGGUGGUUGGAACGAUUUGAUUAUUUUAUAACAAUAAUCGAAUAAAUAAAAAUUUUUACUGCAAUUGAAUUAAUCGAACCAAACUUAAAAAGGUAAAAAUGAAACAACCGAACUGAAUUUAGUCAAUUCGAUUAGAUUUAGUUAAUCGAUUUUUGCUUUUUUUGGUUUUUAACUUAGUUGAACUCCACCGAUCCAAAAAUUCUUCACUGUUCGUGUCGGCAUGUUUGUUCCUCACAGAAUGGGAGCAAACAGUAGCCGCCUUACCUUUUGCUAUAAAAAGGAUUUUAGUCUUUGCUUUCAAAAUCAUCCCAAUCUCUCCAAGAAAGUGUGUAAUCUUUAUUUGUUUAGGCCUUCCAUUCUAAUAUAUGAAGCACCAGAUCGAAGGACAUGACGAAAAUAAUUUUUCAUAUAAUUACAGUUUAAUACAAGGUGGGCCUUUGGGGGACAAGCUUGAAAAAAUUAACUAUGAUAACAAAUUUGAGGCAGCUGCAGGUAGAGGAAGUAUUUGCAAGAGCUCGAUGAAAUUUUACACUGUUAGGGACAGUGUAAUCACUGAAGAUGAAAUCAAGGCUCUCAUUAAAGGAAGUGAAGGAGUUUACAAGCCUGUUGAAGCUUUACCUCUUGGCUAAUCCCAAAGCUUGCAACUAGGAUAUUGGUUGCUUUGAAUUCUCAUGCUUGCUUUUAAAGAGGGAUCAGAUUUUAACUGUGUGCUUUUGAUAUUUUCUUCUUUGUCUUAAAACCUAUAUUGUCUUCCGAUUGUUGUAAUAAGAGUGGUGGUGGUGGAAUCAAGCUUUGAUAAUCUUUGACAUAUGAAAUAAACAAAAAUAUAAACUGGCAAAAAUAAUAAAAGCUUUACUUGGG
rnacentral:lncRNA from 1 species